GUGGGAGGGGGCUUGCUCCCGAUGCAGUGUGCCAGUCGACAUCUACAUGACUGACCUAUCGCAAUCGGGAGCAAGCCCCCUCCCAC
rnacentral:misc_RNA from 1 species